AAAUUUCAUGAUGUAGUUUUUCCACUGCAGAAACCUAAAAGAAAACUAAGCAAAUUAGACCCCAAAACAAUAGAAUUAAAUUGAUUUUCAAAUGUUAAACCAACUCUGCUCCUGAUGUCUUGGUGGGCUUGGUUUGCUGUUUUAUGAAGAAUUCUUGGGUCCACAUUCGUGAGUGAUGUUGGAGGGUUUGCAUUUGUGUAUGAAGCUCAAGAUGUGGGGAGUGGCAGAGAGUAUGCAUUAAAGCUCUGUUCACUCGGAGAGCCCGCCGGCUGCCUGAGUGUGGGUUCGGGUGGACACAGCCACGCCGCAGCCUCCCUGCGCACAGCCCCCUGAGGGCCCUGCCUCCUCCUGCCACGCGCGGGAUGGACUUUGGUGUCGCUGUGGUCAGUGCACAGAACUGUGGACAUGGUUAUGUACGUUCUCCUUUAACAAGACAACUGCAGAAAAAGCUUUCCGGCCACCCGAACAUUGUCCAGUUUUGUUCUGCAGCGUCUAUAGGAAAAGAGGAGUCAGACACGGGGCAGGCUGAGUUCCUCUUGCUCACAGAGCUCUGUAAAG
rnacentral:lncRNA from 10 species